rnacentral:misc_RNA from 1 species
UCCGAGUUGACCCCGGCAGUCUCCCAUGAGUCCCCACCAUUACGUGCUGGCAACAUAGAACAAGGGUUGCGCUCGUUGCGGGACUUAACCCAACAUCUCACGACACGAGCUGACGACAACCAUGCACCACCUGUACACCAGUCCAAAGGAAAACCCCAUCUCUGGAGCGAUCUAGCGUAUGUCAAGCCUUGGUAAGGUUCUUCGCGUUGCAUCGAAUUAAUCCGCAUGCUCCGCCGCUUGUGCGGGCCCCCGUCAAUUCCUUUGAGUUUUAGCCUUGCGGCCGUACUCCCCAGGCGGGGCACUUAAUGCGUUAGCUACGGUACAGGAAUCGUGGAACAAUCCCCACACCUAGUGCCCAACGUUUACGGCAUGGACUAC